ACUCUCGGUAAAUGAAUGAGGAGAGCCCCAUGUGGGAUUACAAACUUGCUGGAAAUGGAUGAGAAACCUUCUGCUCUGCUGGAGUUUAUCUUGAGUGUGCCUUAAAAUUCCAUUUCAUGGAGAACUGUGCGUGGUUGAAUUUUGAUUGAUUACUCAAUUAACUGAUGUAUUGGUAGAGUGAUUAAGAAAGAAGACUUUGGGAUCAGACCAACCUGGUUUUGAAUUCAAGCUCAGCAACUUACUAGGUAAGGAGGAGAAAAGAAAGAAGGAAAAAUUGGAAAGAUAAAUGGGGUCUUUCCAGUGAAGGCUCAAUUUUCCUACAUAAUUAAGAGUUUGGAAUUCGGGCAAUAUCAAGAACCACAUCUGUCCUGAAAUCAAUUAUCUCUGUUUGGAAUAUGGAUAUGAGAGAUCACUUUGCUGUGCUGUAAAUGAUCGAUUAAAAUACAUAUUUCUAUACAGAAUCUGAGGAGGGUGGCUCUGUUAUUCUGAUGGAAUGAAUGCUCAGUGAGAUCAAAAUCAAGUCAUUGAGGAUGCCAGGAGAGUCUGGGGCAUCCUCAGGUACCCUGCAGGGUUUGUGGGGAGGCUGCUGGACUUACAGAUUGUUGUGGAUUUCAUCCUGGAUGGUUUACUGAGCUCUUUGGGGUUCCUGAGGUGAAAAUUACAGCAAUUUUAAGAGUCUGACACACUUUCCAGCUGAUAGCACUAAAAACAUGACUUGUAGCCUCCUCUCUUUUUCCUGUUUGCUUCUCUGAAUGAAGAUGGCAGAACUAAUCUGUAUGAACUAUUAUCUGUUAUGUGAAUUUUUAUGAAUUAAACUAAUUUAUCUUUAAAAAUCCAUUUUUUUCUCUAUGAGCAACUUAUGCAAUGGAAUGGACCUACUAUAUUUGUCAAAGUUAUUAGAGUCCCGGGUUUUUAAUUACUAGUUUGAACCCCACAGCUCUUCUGGUAAAAUGUGGACUGCAUACUGAAGGGAAAACAAAAUAACAGAUUAUGCAAUAUACAAAUAGAAUUACCAGUGACUUAUUCUCCUUUAAGUCAACAUUUAAUGCAAUGGUUUUUGCUCUGGAUCUCAUAUCCCUUUUAUUUUGUAUUUUUUUUGGGUAAGGUGGUUCCGAUGUUAUCAACCAAUAAAAUAAAUUCUACUUCA
rnacentral:lncRNA from 1 species